GCUACGCCCCUCUAUAUAAAACGAUGCAGCGGUGGCCGCCUUGACAGCCCCUGCCCAGAAGUACUUCUGGAUCAGGCGAGGCGGGGCUGGGCUGGACUGGGCUGGACUGGACUGAGCAGCGCAAAGCGGAGGGGAGCUGAGCCACCCCUGCCCCUGGUCGGUCCCGGGCAAUGAUCGAUGGAGGCGAGCAGCCUCCUCUGCCCGGCGCCUGUGUGAGGGGGCGAGCCCAGAGUCCCUGCUGCUCAUUGCACAACCACCGCGGCCAGCUCAGCAGCCGGAGCCGCCGCUGCCACGGCCGCGCGGGACCCCUGGAGCCCUGAAGUUUGGCCCUUCGGUCCCCAAGAGUUACUUUGCGAGGCUCCGUCUGCUCCGGCGCCGGUAACUGACAAGACGCGGGCGCCCCGGGCAGUGAAUGCAGCCCAGCCCCCAGCAGGGCAUUGCCAACGCUCCUACUUGGUCCCCUGCCUCAGAGCCAGGUCCUGAGGCAGAACCUCACCCUAGGUCAACCUCAUUUAUAAGACAGAAGGUGGAUAUGGCUUCCAAUGAUGCAGAUUAUAACCACUGAUCAUAAGAUCUCAGAUGUUAGAGCUUCAAGGACAACUGAGUCCAAUCCCCUGUUUUACAGAUGAGAAAACUUAGCGACAGAGAGGAACAUGGAGUGACUUGUCCAGUGUCACACAGCUAGUAAGUAUUUAAAGCAGAAUUUGAACCCAGGUUUUCCUGACUCAGAACCCAAUGCCCCAUCCAUUUCACCAGGAUUUCCCAACCUGGGAUAUACAUGCUCUAAAGGGAUGUGAGAAGCUUAUUAGGGGAGCUAUAAGGAAUUAAUUAACCUAUUUUAUUUCUUAUGUGCAUAUAUUACAAUACAUUUCCUUUCAUAUUGAAUGCCCUAGAAUUUAUUUUAUUUCAUAUCAAAAUUUAUUUUAUUUCAUAUCAAAUACUGAAAACUAUUCUAUCUCUCA
rnacentral:lncRNA from 1 species